rnacentral:rRNA from 1 species
GUGUCAGCAGCCGCGGUAAUACGUAGGUGGCAAGCGUUAUCCGGAAUUAUUGGGCGUAAAGCGCGCGCAGGUGGUUUCUUAAGUCUGAUGUGAAAGCCCACGGCUCAACCGUGGAGGGUCAUUGGAAACUGGGAGGCUUGAGUGCAGAAGAGGAAAGUGGAAUUCCAUGUGUAGCGGUGAAAUGCGUAGAGAUAUGGAGGAACACCAGUGGCGAAGGCGACUCUCUGGUCUGUAACUGACGCUGAGGAGCGAAAGCGUGGGGAGCGAACAGGAUUAGAUACCCCCGUAGUCC